rnacentral:rRNA from 1 species
GUGUCAGCAGCCGCGGUAAUACGGAGGGUGCAAGCGUUAUCCGGAUUCACUGGGUUUAAAGGGUGCGUAGGUGGGGUGGUAAGUCAGUGGUGAAAUCUCCAGGCUUAACUUGGAAACUGCCAUUGAUACUAUCAUUCUUGAAUACCGUGGAGAUGAGCGGAAUAUGUCAUGUAGCGGUGAAAUGCUUAGAUAUGACAUAGAACACCCAUUGCGAAGGCAGCUUACUACACAAUGAUUGACGCUGAGGCACGAAAGCGUGGGGAUCAAACAGGAUUAGAUACCCUGGUAGUCCACGCCCUAAACGAUGAUUACUCGACAUCAGCGAUAUACUGUUGGUGUCUGAGCGAAAGCAUUAAGUAAUCCACCUGGGAAGUACGACCGCAAGGUUGAA